CUCUAAAAUGGAGGUGCGCGUAAGUGCAACGGUUGAAAAAUGUGUAAAACCCCGUAAAUGCUUAGUAAUUGAAAAGCGAACAUGCAAAAAUACCUUUAAAUGCUAGAAGAACUUUUAAUGAUGAUUUGAAUGCAGACUUCUUGUUGUUUAUUUUAUUUUUAUUUCUUUAUAGCUUUAUUUUAUGUAGUUAAAAAUAUUGAAGGCUUUAUUAAUGAUCAAUUGACUGAUAUAUGAAAUUUCAAAAUGAAAUGUUGCUUGAUGCCCAUGUAAAAAAUUAUUUUGUCAAAAAGUGACAAGAUUUCCCUGUUGCCAGAAAUGCCCCGCCUUACAUUAGCCAAAAAAA